GCCGGAAUGAACUUCGAUGGUUCGGAGUGCAGGCUUCAAACCUGUAGACGCUUAGCGGCGUAAUGGUUCGAUUCCAUCUUUCCGGU
rnacentral:tRNA from 2 species